GAUGAACGCUGGCGGCGUGCCUAAUACAUGCAAGUCGAGAGAAUGGAUUAAGAGCUUGCUCUUAUGAAGUUAGCGGCGGACGGGUGAGUAACACGUGGGUAACCUGCCCAUAAGACUAGGAUAACUCCGGGAAACCGGGGCUCAUACCGGAUAACAUUUUGAACCGCAUGGUUCGAAAUUGAAAGGCGGCUUCGGCUGUCACUUAGGGAUGGACCCGCGUCGCAUUAGCUAGUUGGUGAGGUAACGGAUCACCAAGGCAACGAUGCGUAGCCGACCUGAGAGGGUGAUCGGCCACACUGGGACUGAGACACGGCCCAGACUCCUACGGGAGGCAGCAGUAGGGAAUCUUCCGCAAUGGACGAAAGUCUGACGGAGCAACGCCGCGUGAGUGAUGAAGGCUUUCGGGUCGUAAAACUCUGUUGUUAGGGAAGAACAAGUGCUAGUUGAAUAAGCUGGCACCUUGACGGUACCUAACCAGAAAGCCACGGCUAACUACGUGCCAGCCGCCGCAGUAA
rnacentral:rRNA from 1 species